CCGCCAACAAAACAAACCGCUCCUUUGUUGCGACGCCGACGGUGGCGGUGGCCAGUGGCGCCGCCGCCGCCAAUCAAGAUAGAUUUUUUUUAGAUAAAGGCCAAUCAAGAUAGAUAGAGGCGGGCAGAACAGCCUUUGGAGUUCGUUACAUGGAGAUGGAGGCGCGUAAACCCCAACCCAUUCAGAGAAUUUCCCCCCUCGGCUGUUAGCUGAGCUUUGACCAAGAAUCGUCGACCACCGCGCACAUCACCUGUUCGACGAAACGCUCCCUAGGACAACUGAUGUGUUGGACCGGUCGACAAGGGCGACGGGUCAGCCGCUGGCCGCCGCAAGGUGCGUGCUGAUCCGCGAGCUGCACCUGGUGGCAUGCCUCUGUGCUCUGCCGCUGCCGGCAGGCUGCCAUGCAGCCGUGGAGAUGACACUGGCAGACGCGUGGUCUGUGUACCGACGGAUCAAUGCAAGGGUUCGUAUUCGUAGCCACCCUCUGUUUUCUAGGAAAAAACCACCCUCUGUUCAGUGUUUACUUUUGAUGCCCACUUUUUUUAUUGAAGCCCUUUUGAUGCCACUUGAUCUGGGGUGCUUACUUUCUGCCCAUCUCGUGAAAUGCGUUGCCGACAAGAAAGGGCGCACGAAAAUGCACCAAGAUGGCAAGAUGCUCCCGUAGCUUUACCCCUUUUUGCAGGUUGAAUGAUGAUGGCACAGGGUCAUAGGGACGAUGGGAAAUAGUUGUUUAGGUGCAGAUCACCAGUUGAUCACGGAUACAAGGACAAUAUUGAGUUGUUUAGGUGCAGAUCACCAGUUGAUCACGGAUACAAGGACAAUAUUGUUGGUGCAUGAGUUGUUGCCUACUAUAGCAAGCUCCCCGAUCGAGUUACCUCCACAGCUCCACUGGAGAUAUUAUACAACAUCACCAAUCAUACCAGGAAGAAAUGGAGGGGCGGCUGAGUUCCCACUUCCCAAUGAUUCAACUUGCAAAACAAAAUCAGGCUUGUGACGCGGCUGCAGAAAAUUAUAAUAGCUUGUUGGUGUUGCCAUCUCAGUUGCUCAACUGAUUAUCAGUAAUAUACUGGUGCCAUGAGUAAUUUUCAUCUGAGUUGUUGGGCUUGGCAGUCAAAUUGCAGCUUAAAACUCUAAUGACUGUUUUCCUUCUCUAAUGAAGCUGAUCAAUGGAUCAAGAUCCAGACACUCAUGUUUGAAGCCACGGCAUAGGAUGGUGAGCCUAGUUGAAGGGCUGCUGGAUAGGCAGAAUCCAAGAGGCAAAAACAUUCGUGGCCUGGUGCCCCUUGCACGCAGCUUCGGCAAAGCUGCCUGUCUGACAUAGAUGAAAUUGUUAUUACCUGUUAACCAUGUUCAAACUGUUAUUACCAAUUAACUAUGAGUGGCAGCUGGAUGUGUUUAGACAACUGCAUUAUACCAUACACAGCAAUCAGGACCAAAAACUGAGAAGGUAUUCAGUGGCACUGGAUUUUUUUUAUUAUAUGCUCUCAUGGUAGAUGACACAUGAGAGGUGUCCACCUGGCUGUCAGUUCUUGAUUUUGAUGAUUUUGAAAGGCAAUCUCAGUUUUUUUUUCUUUUUUUUUGGCAACCAAGGCUAGUGGUAAUUAAAAUAAUAUACUCAUUUUACUUACAGGGAGGCAUCCAAUCAAUGUUUAGCCGCUCCACGCAAGUUGGAAUCUUUCUUGUCUGUAAAUGUGAAGUGACAUUGGUUGCCAGAUUACCACUAACCCAAUUUACAAUCACGGCCUAAUUAUUUUGCUGACUUGUUUGUCCCCCUCCCCUACCCCCCACUCCCCACAAAUACUGCUGUACUAACUCUUCUUGUGGCCUUGUCUCUGCCCCUUCUGGCUAUAAAAGUACACUUGGCCUCCCACCCCUCUUUGCACCAGCACAACUCUGUUUUCCUAGUCCGCCUUCUUCUAGGGUUAGAAGUUAUAAUGGGUCGGACUAUGCUGUGAAAAAGUGAUCUCAGUGCUAUGGUGUGGAAUUAAAGAUCUGAUCUAGAUAUCCAGGUUUUGCAUUUGGGGGCAGCAAGCUAGAGGCGGCAACUGCAUAACUUGCGAUAAACUUGUUGGACCAUGGUGUGCUGAUGAUUUUACCGCAAGUUAUGCAGUUGCUGCCUCAAGCUUGCUGCCUCCCUUUGCCAAACUUGUAGGAAUAAGAUGAAGUUCAUCUGUAUAGAAACCUUCCAUAGCCAUGUAUCGUAUAUUUACCAAGAGAUCAAACAUAAGGAAUGCAAGAAUGCUAUCUACUCACUCUGUUCCUAAUUAUAGGUCGUUUUUUGGCUUUUCUAGAUACAUAGCUUUUGCUAUGCACCUAGAUAUAAGAUAUGUCUAGAUACAUAAUAAAAGUUAUGUAUCUAGAAAAGCCAAAACAGCCUGUAAACUGGAAUGGAGGGAGUACAAUACAUCAGAUUGUCACUUCAAGCUAGCUAGCUGCUCAUGUACGGUUGUGUUUUCCCCCAUGGCCGAAAAAAUAAUGAAAUACUUAUGUUGCUGAGGUUUCCACAGCCAAUAUUGUUUUAGUUUUGUGCUCUAUAUACGAGCAGAAGACAGUGGAUGAGAUUGAUUUUUAAUC